rnacentral:rRNA from 1 species
UACGUGGGGUGCAAGCGUUAUCCGGAUUUAUUGGGCGUAAAGAGUUCGUAGGCGUCUGAUUAAGUUUUGUCUGAAAUCUCGAGGCUUAACCUCGAAACUGGGCGAAAUACUGGUCAGAUCGAGUCUGUUAGGGGGUACUGGAACUCAUAGUGUAGCAGUGAAAUGCGUUGAUAUUAUGAGGAACACCAAGGGCGAAGGCAGGUACCUGGGGCAUGACUGACGCUGAGGAACGAAAGCUAGGGGAGCGAAAGGG